GCUUCCUUGGCUCAGUUGGUAGAGCGUUGGUCUCAUAAUCCAAAGGUCGCCAGUUCAAGCCUGGCAGGGAGCA
rnacentral:tRNA from 1 species